rnacentral:rRNA from 1 species
AGAGUUUGAUCCUGGCUCAGGAUGAACGCUAGCGGCGCGCUUAAUGCAUGCAAGUCGAGCGAUGAGGCCCCUACGGGGGUACAUCAGCGGCAGACGGGUGAGUAACACGUGGAUGACCUGCCCCCCAGACGAGGAUAACGGAUGGAAACAUCAGCUAAUACUCGAUGGACUCUCAUUGUCGAAGGUGAGAGUAAAGGCUCCGGUGCUGGGGGAGGGGUCCGCGGCCUAUCAGCUAGUUGGUGAGGUAACGGCUCACCAAGGCGAAGACGGGUAGGGGGUGUGAGAGCACGGCCCCCCACAAUGGGACUGAGAGACGGCCCAUACUCCUACGGGAGGCAGCAGCAGGGAAUAUUGCACAAUGGACGGAAGUCUGAUGCAGCGACGCCGCGUGGAUGAUGAAGGCCCUCGGGUUGUAAAAUCCUUUUCAGGGGGACGAGGAAGGACGGUACCCUUGGAAUAAGCGUCGGCUAACUACGUGCCAGCAGCCGCGGUAAGACGUAGGACGCAAGCGUUAUCCGGAUUUACUGGGCGUAAAGCGUCUGUAGGCGGAGGGGUAAGUUUGACGUGAAAGCUCCGGGCUCAACCCGGAGAGGCCGUUGAAUACUGCCCAACUAGAGUCCAUCAGAGGGGCGUGGAAUUUCCGGUGUAGCGGUGAAAUGCGCAGAUAUCGGAAGGAACACCAAUGGCGAAGGCAGCGCCCUGGGAUGGGACUGACGCUAAGAGACGACAGCUAGGGUAGCGAACAGGAUUAGAGACCCUGGUAGUCCUAGCCGUAAACGAUGGAUGCUAGGUGUAUGGGGGAAUACCCUGUGUGCCGGAGCAAACGCGAUAAGCAUCCCGCCUGGGGAUUACGGCCGCAAGGCUAAAACUCAAACGAAUUGACGGGGCCCCGCACAAGCAGCGGAGCGUGUGGUUUAAUUCGAUGUUACACGAAGAACCUUACCUGGGUUUGACAUGGCCGUGGUAGUGAUUCGAAAGGAAAGCGACCCUUCGGGGAGCGGUCACAGGUGCUGCAUGGCUGUCGUCAGCUCGUGCCGUGAGGUGUCGGGUUAAGUCCCGUAACGAGCGCAACCCUUGCCCUUAGUUACAAGUGUCUAAGGGGACUGCCGGCGGUAAGCCGGAGGAAGGUGGGGAUGACGUCAAGUCAGCAUGGCCCGUAUGUCCAGGGCUACACACACGCUACAAUGGUCGGUACAAAGGGCAGCGAAGCCGCGAGGUGGAGCGAAUCUCAGAAAGCCGAUCGUAGUUCGGAUUGCGGGCUGCAACUCGCCUGCAUGAAGCUGGAGUUGCUAGUAACCGCGCGUCAGCUAUAGUGCGGUGAAUACGUUCCCGGGGCUUGUACACACCGCCCGUCACGUCAUGGGAGUCGGUAACGCCUGAAGUUGGUAGCCUAGCUCGGAAGAGGGGGCGCCACCGAAGGCGGGGCUGGCAACUGGGACGAAGUCGUAACAAGGUAACC